UACGGGGGGGGCAAGCGUUGUUCGGAAUUACUGGGCGUAAAGGGCUCGUAGGCGGCCCACUAAGUCCGACGUGAAAUCCCCAGGCUUAACUUGGGAACUGCGUCGGAUACUGGUGGGCUUGAAUCCGGGAGAGGGAUGCGGAAUUCCAGGUGUAGCGGUGAAAUGCGUAGAUAUCUGGAGGAACACCGGUGGCGAAGGCGGCAUCCUGGACCGGCAUUGACGCUGAGUGAGCGAAAGCCAGGGGGAGCAAAACGGG
rnacentral:rRNA from 1 species